CAGCAUGAUCCAUCAUGUGCAGUGAUCUGUCACCUAGGAGAAGCCAAACUGAUCUCGUCCAAACUACAGCCCGUGUGGAAAAGGCUGUACUUGCAAUGUGGAUGGACAGUCAGAGACUGGGACCUGGGAGCAAGACAGGGAACGAAGCUGCUGGGCAGUGCAGGCAUACUCGGAGCUUAGUAUGUGUACUCUCCAGAGACGUUUGUUUGAGCUCCCCUUUUUGCCUAUCCCAGCUAUUCCUCUUGCUUCCCUGGUGAGCAUUGCCCUGGACUGCUUGGGCAUGUAGGUGUGAGGAGACCUCAGUUUCCAUGGAGAAGUCUAGUUUGAGAUCUGCAACUUAUUUUGAUGUAGGGUCUAGGGUUUAGAGCCGCUGUCUGGUGGGGGGAAGCUCCUUCUCCUCUCAAGCCACGCUGGGGUUACCUGUUUCAUUCCCCCAAACCCUUAAAGCCUUGCUAGAGCCAGAUGACAGAUGUUAAUAUCUGUCUUGGGAUUUAGAUGAUAAUGUGUCAUGCUGAAGGACCCUUUCCUAUGCAGAUGCCAGCUGUCACACCCAAGCACGUUGUGGUCAGCCCUCUGGGUUUUUGCUGAGGGAAGCAGGGCUUGCCUGGGUGUGCAGCACUGAAGGCCAGCUGGUCUACCUGGCCUGGAGGUAGCGUAAAGCCACUCUGGCCUCAUGUUGUAUUUCUUAUUCUCUCUGCCUUUGGGACAGGCUAUGCACCAGCAGGGACUUGACUGCUGUGAUUAUCUGGGCUGUUUAGAAUCUGAUGGGUCUGACUAUCCCUGGGCGGUUCUAGGAUCUGAUAAUCCCACCCCCAAACACACCUUUCUCCAGUUUUCUCCCCAAUCCUAGUAACAGUGUUAGCUCUGCUAUGUUCAUAUGUCUCCCAGUCUUCCUUCCCCACAACGUGCCUACCAACCUCACCUGUGCUGAGCCUAGCUCCUGCCACUGCCUGCCCAAAUCUCUCUGCAGCUCAUCACCACCAGUGUGUUGUGACAGGUUGGCAAAAUUUGCAAAAAGAAAAUGUCUUCUACCACAUUUUUCAGUUUUGCCACCAAAUUUUGACAGAGCCAAGAGCCUGGAGCUGCUUCUGCUGCCCUGAGUGUGCUUGGUGACCUGGAGGGGACCUAGUCAAGUCUCUCCUUAGCAGUUUCCAAGCUAUUCUUUCUCUCAUACUGUGCUGCUCUGGGAGGAGAGGGCAGCUCUUGGAGGACACUAGUUGUGUGGAAGCCUGUUGGACCACCACAGCUCACUUGACUACUCCGAUCCCAAAUCUGCUGUUUUGAAACUAGGCAGUAGGUUGGCAGCUGGGACAUGUGAGAGCAGAGGAGGUAUUGUUUUCAGGCUAAGGACACGUGAGGAAGGAAGAGACUGAGGAUGCAGAUGGAAUGGAAGAAAAUGCCAAGUGGUUAAAUGGCUGUAGAUAAGUGGAGAAACGUCUUAAGAGAUUGACGGUUGCCUGCUGGUUGGAGAGGUGGAAGGAAAGAUUGCAUUCGCACACCAGGAUUGCAAAUCCACUCAUAACCCGUGCACCAAACCCCCCCACCCCCCCCACCCCACCCCCGGUUAAAUUGCAUUUGUUACUCAUUUUUAGCCUUCCCAUUUGUAAACUUGCACAGAGCUCUGUACCGCACCUUUAUGGCCUCAUCUGCUGUUUCCAUCUCGCAGAACCUCUGGCCUGUUUUUCGGGGAGAAAGCCUACAGAAUAAAACUUGUGCAG